rnacentral:lncRNA from 1 species
GACAACAAUGGAACCCUAGCAAAAAAAAAAAGAGAUACAGAGCGGCAACACCUCCUCACACCGACGACCCCAUCUCCACCUCCAUUCUACCACCCAAAAUCCAGCGACCAAAUCUCCACAACCAGUCGUGGCCCUCUUCUAGACACACACAAUAGCCGUUAAAAUCUGCCAAAACGGAACAACCAUCCCUGCCAAAUUCCACCAGCGCCGCACCCAUCGCUGCUCGUCUUCGUCUAACAAAUUUACAAAGACGAAACCAUAAUAAAAUAUUCAGAUACAAGUUACAUGUACACAACCCACUUGCUCACGGUCUAAGGUGGUCCACUCUCCAUUGUCUAGCAAACAGACCUUAAUUUCCAUUCGAACAGAAAAUGGCAAAGGCAUAAAUUUUGUUUUUUUCAAGAGUCUAAUGAGCAACCUAAGUUAACACUAAGUCUUGAUUCUGCUGCAUCCUGAUUUUCUUCCAUGCGAAUUCAGCAAAUUUAUUUUCAUCUGUUGGGGCCGAGAUGCGCUCGAGAUUGAGGUUGUUCGUUAAGGUUCCGAUUGCGGUCUAAAAUUAGAUCCGGAUUUUUAUUUUCGAAAACCCUUUAAGGUUAAUUUCUUACCUUCUUUAUUUUAUCUUUUUAAUAUAUUUUGUGUGACUUCACGAUUUAUUUAAAUAGUUGAUGAUUUCUUCUAACGUUUGUUUGCUUGAAAUUAAUUGAAAUGAAUGUUAAAUGAGUUAUUUGCAGAUUAUACUCAGCUCUUGAGUAGUUAGUAAAAAUGAGUUAUUUGCAGAUUCUUACCUUCUUUUUUUUUAAAUCUUUUUAAAUAUAAUUUGAGUAUAUAGUAAAUUAAGAAUUACAAAGAAAGUAAGGUUUGAUAAACAUUUUUGGACUACUAAACUAUAUGGAUCGCGGGUUUGUAGGUAAAAAGUUAAAGUAUAUUAGGUUAAAAUGAUAUUGAGUUCAAUGAUAAUUUUAGUUGAAUUUUUGUUUAGUAUGUGACGUUUUCAAUUGCAUAUGGUUUAGAUAUUGUUUGUUGAUAUGGUUUUUAAGACGCUAGUAGCAUAAUUAGACUGAAAUACUCUGUAGGCAAACAUUAGAAUUUUGUUUGUAUACUUUUAUGGUGAGAAGUUGUCCCUUAGUUAAAUUUAUCCGGGAAAUGACACGUGAAGUUUGUAUAUAUUAUUAUUUGGGAUAUGCCCCGAAGUAUUUGUAAUGGGAGACGGAAAGUAGAACUCUUAGUAUUUUUAUUUUUAUUUUUUACUUUUUAUUUUAUUUCAUUAGGUGGGGACGACCUCGAGCCUCUUGUGUGUUUAUUUUUUGUUUCUGUGUUUUCUACCUCAAUCUAAUAUUUUAAUAGCCAACUUGAUCAUGUACGUAACCGUGAAUUUUACGGGACUUGGGGAAUGCCUAACACCUUCUCCCCGAGUCAAAACCCCCUUAUCCGAAUCUCUAGUGCGGACUUAGUCUUGAGUCCAAAUGUUUUAAAAGGAAACAGUAUUUUAAAAAUGGUGACUUGGCAUACCAAAACCAAUGUUAGGUGGCGACUCUGAGUUUAUUUCCCUUUUUAACACAAUUUUUGUCACUUUCAAAAUUGAAAACCCUUUUCAAGAUUUUAUUAAAUUUUUUUUAUUUAUUGAAGAGGAUUACGUAGAGUUUGGUUAAAUAAGGGGUGUGACAUCUCUGGCGACUCCACUGGGGAGUUGCAGGUUCGAGCUAGCAUUUGAUCUUAUUGGCUUUUAGAAUGUUUGGUUGAGGUUUUUAUGUGUUUUGUUUGCUUUAUUUUAUUUAUAUUUUGUUUAUGUCUUUUAUUAUUUGUUAGUUGCAUACAUGUUUACAUAUUUUUCCUUUAUGUGUUACCGCUUUAUAAAUUGCCAUCAUUUGCAUAACCAUGAGUUUUCUUUCUGCAAAAAGUCUUCCGGAGUACGUUUGAGCGUACACGGCCUUUUUGUGAGUCACCCGUGUCAUUAGGGGGUGGCGUGGGAGCGUGGAGUGGCGUAUAGCUAGAGCAGCCGCCAUGGACCACGUGCCACCCCGAAUUGCCUUGUCUAGUGAACCCCAACCGUAGGUCAGCCUUUAGGUCAUGCUUAUUUGCACCAUACUAUUCAGACUUAGUAAGGCUCGCUCCCAGGCACCGUGUCCCUUUGUAGGAGGCAUAUCCAAAUUAUGUCAAAAAUGGUCUUAUGCCCAAAAUGACAUUUAAUCAUCCUAUGUGCUAAAUGUUGCAUUUUCGAGGGUAAAAAGGUCAUUUGGUGGACCAAUGUUUGGAAAAAAAGGUGAAAAAUGAAGCAAGCAGAGCUCACUCGCAUUUUUCUUUCAUAGUCUUUCAUAAAUAAAAAGAAAUUGAAAAUAGAAAAUCAAAAAAGAUUUUAUACUUUUCCAUUAUUUUCCAAAAUUCAAAAAAGUAGAAAAUGAAAAUUCCAAAAAGAUUUUACACUUUUCCAUUAUUUUCCAAAAAAUCAAAAAAGUAGAAAAUAAAAAAUUCUAAAAGAUUUUACACUUUUUCAUUAUUUUUUAAAAAUCCAAAUAGUAGAAAAUGAAAUUCCAAAAAAGAUUUUAUACUUUUUCAUUAUUUUCCAAAAGUUCAAAAAAUUAGAAAAUGAAGAAAAUCCAAAAAGAAUCUCCAGUUUUCAUUAUUUUUCAAAAAAGAAAAAAAUAUAAUUUGUUUUCAAAUUAGAUGCAUGUUUUUGAAUUCUAUCAUAUAUUUAAUUUUCCCGAACUACGCGAACCUGAUUCUCGUCUCCGGGGCGAGAUACGUAGGCAACCCACAUAGGGUCCGAUCUUCCUCGUCUUAUGUUCUUGGAUUUGCGAGGCCUUAGCCAAAUCUUGCAUGUCUAGCCACUUGUGGCCAUAUCGGCCAUUGUUACAAAAUGAGGUUAUUUUUGCAAAAGUGGUUCAAUAACCCGUGCCUUAGGAUCUUGAGUCCAUAACUAGGUGUCAUGUUACUUUAGGGACUGUCAUUAUUGAGUUUGCAUCUUUAGCCACUUCUGGCUAUAUCAGUCGUUUUUGCGAAAUGGGUUAUUUCUCCAAAUUAAUUUUUGGGCCAUGAUAUUUUGAGUUUGAAUCCAUAAAAGUUUUGGUUGGUCAUUUUUCAUGUCCAUGAGGUUAACUUUUUUGAGUUCGCAUUAAUAGCCACUCUUGGCCAUAUAGGUUAAUUUUUUUAAAAAAAUAGCCCAAUAUUGUCUUGCAUGUGUCCAAUAGGAGAUGUGGUCUCACAUAGUGUCUCGAGUCAUCUAAUUUAUUUGAGUAUUAUUUUUCUAAUUCAGGUAUGGAUUGUUUUUACCACAGCUUUAGCAUGAUUGAUGCUCAGGACCACUUUAUUCAGGAGUUGCUUAAUGAGCCUUUUUAUAUUAUGAGUCUGUUUUUAUGUUUGUCUUUCCUUUUGUAGUCAUGUAUAGUAGUUUUGAGUCUUUUAGGUGAUGUAAGGUUGUCAUCCUACUUCCCAUUUGUAUUCGAAAAAAAAAACAAACAUAUA